ACCCACGCGGCGCAGCUCCCAAAGUUGCAGACAGCCGGGCAAACCGCGCAAUGCGCUUCUUCUGCCCGCCGCAGAGAAAAGGAAAGAAAACUCCGCAGGGGCUCCGUUGGCUUCUCCACGAGUGACAACCAUGCUUUCCCAGAUAGAAGACCGGAGCCCUGCUCCUUUGCGAUCCGCCGAGGGCUGCAAAGAGCAUCCUCAUCCAUUUGGGCACCCCUGCCCAGGAAGAGCCCGGCCAUCCCUUUCCAGACUGGAUCCUUCAGAGGUGAAUUUUCUUCGGUGGAUUCCGAUUUGCUCCGUCUGACCAACCUAGGCAAUCCAGCAUCGCGUGGUACCAGUGCCGCUGGGCACACUCGCUUCACGCCGGCUCCGCCUUACCAGCAAGCGCAUUCCCAGAUAAAACACUAACUCAGAGAAGAAGUUUAACUGCAAAUUUGGUUAAUGACCUUGGAUUCCAAAUGAGAAGAAAAGCUAGACACCGAGAGUUUAGAAUAAAAUCAAGAAUCUUAAAAAUUUUCCCAUUGAAUUGCCUUUGCACCUCUAUAAAAAAUUAAUUGACCAUAUAAACAGCCUGAAGUCUGCAUCAUGACUUGAUGGUUACCCAGGGGUUUACAUGUGUCCAACUGAACACGGUGGUUCUGGGAUUAAGGAUCCACACAAACACAGGCAGGAGUUUGGAGGGAAGAAGGGGGCACAGCAGGAGUGUAUCUCAAGCCCACCUCAAAAGCAGCAGAGCAUUCCAAGUUGCUGAAAACCUGUGCAAAUGGGGCCUCUAAAACAAACAUUGUACUGUGAGCUCUC
rnacentral:lncRNA from 1 species